GGCCAAGCUAUUAAGAGCAAUCGGUGGAUGCCUUGGCGUCAAGAGGCGAUGAAAGACGUGGCAAGCUGCGAUAAGCUUCGGGGAGCUUCUAAACAAGCUUUGAUCCGGAGAUUUCUGAAUGGGGAAACCCGUUCCGAGUAGUGUCGGGACAUCUGUAGCUGAAUACAUAGGCUACAGAGGCAAACGAGGUGAACUGAAACAUCUAAGUAACCUCAGGAAGAGAAAACAAUAGUGAUUUUCUGAGUAGCGGCGAGCGAAAGGAAAACAGCCCAAACCGAAUAUAUGUUAAAGCCCGAAAGCGUUGUAUAUUCGGUGUCGUGGGGUUCGAUCGGAUAGAGUUUCGGAUCUGUCAUGAAGUUAAAAAACUGAUUCAUAACUGAAGAGUCUGGAAAGACCCACCAGAGAAGGUGAUAGUCCUGUAGGUAAAAUGAAUCAGUCUUCCUGGGUCGAAUACCCAAGUACCGCGGGACACGAGGAAUCUUGUGGGAAUUUGGAAGGACCAUCUUCUAAGGCUAAAUACUACUUGACGACCGAUAGUGAACUAGUACCGUGAGGGAAAGGUGAAAAGUACUCCGGUGAGGAGAGUGAAAUAGUACCUGAAACCGUUUGCUUACAAGCAGUGGGAGUCUGAUGCCUGUCCUUUGACUUUAGGGUCAAGUUUCAGGCCGGAUGACCGCGUGCCUUUUGCAUAAUGAGUCAGCGAGUUACUUUGCGCAGCAAGGUUAAGCCGUUAGGUGUAGCCGUAGCGAAAGCGAGUCUUAAUAGGGCGAUUGAGUUGUGUGGAGUAGACCCGAAGCCAAGUGAUCUAUCCAUGGCCAGAGUGAAGCACAAGUAAAAUUGCGUGGAGGCUCGAACCAUUGCGGGUUGAAAACCGCUUGGAUGAGCUGUGGAUAGGGGUGAAAGGCCAAACAAACUUGGAAAUAGCUGGUACUCCCCGAAAUAUAUUUAGGUAUAGCCUUGCAAGCUGAGUGGCGGGGGUAGAGCACUGGAUGGGCUAGGGGUCCUACCAGAUUACCAAACCUAACCAAACUCCGAAUACCGCCAACUACUAUUGCAGGAGUCAGACUGCGGGAGCUAAGUUCCGUGGUCGAGAGGGAAACAGCCCAGAUCGCCAGCUAAGGUCCCUAAAUGUGCGCUAAGUGGGAAAGGAUGUGGAAAUGCACAGACAACCAGGAGGUUGGCUUAGAAGCAGCCACCCUUUAAAGAAAGCGUAAUAGCUCACUGGUCGAGUGAGUCUGCGCCGAAAAUGUAACGGGGCUUAAGCGCAUUACCGAAGCUGCGGGAGUCCCGCUUUCGGGCGGGGUUCGGUAGGGGAGCAUUCUGUUAGGGCUGAAGGUUGACCGUAAGGACGACUGAACUUAACAGAAGAGACUAUGCUGACAUGAGUAACGAUAAAGCAGGUGAAAAACCUGCUCGCCGAAAGCCUAAGGUUUCCUGAGUAAAGCUAAUCUGCUCAGGGUUAGUCGAUCCCUAAGCCGAGGCCGAAAGGCGUAGGUAAUGGAAAACAGGUUAAUAUUCCUGUACCACCGGGUUAUCAAUAUCCCUUCGGGGAUGAGAGUGAUUGGGGGGACGCAAAAGGGUAGAUCAGCCAUCUGUUGGAUUAGGUGGUUCAAGCUCGUAGGCUGAAAGAACAGGAAAAUCCAUUCUUUCAUAAAAGCUGAGAAGUGAUGAGGAUCCCGUUUUCGGGAACAAACUGAUCGAUCCCAUGUUGCCAAGAAAAGCCUCUAGCGAGAUAACCAGGUGAUCGUACCACAAACCGACACAGGUAGGCAGGGAGAGAAUCCCAAGGCGCUUGAGAGAACCCUGGUUAAGGAACUCGGCAAAAUAACACCGUAACUUAGGGAGAAGGUGUGCCCUCAUUAGGUGAAGCAACUUGCUUGUGGAGCUGAGGAGGGUCGCAGAGAAAUGGCGGUAGCGACUGUUUACUAAAAACAUAGGACUCUGCUAAGUCGUAAGACGAUGUAUAGGGUCUGACGCCUGCCCGGUGCCGGAAGGUUAAGGGGAUUUGUUAGCCCGCUUUGGCGGGCGAAGCUUUGAACCGAAGCCCCGGUAAACGGCGGCCGUAACUAUAACGGUCCUAAGGUAGCGAAAUUCCUUGUCGGGUAAGUUCCGACCUGCACGAAUGGCGUAACGACUUCCC
rnacentral:rRNA from 1 species